GCCGAGCUCAUUAGCGGGAGCUUGUAACCCGAGCUGGGGGCUUUAAGGUGGUGUGAACGUUGCCGUAGCGCUGUGGGCCUGGCCCGGUUGUGCUUCUGCUGGUCCGCCCGUUCCAAGUUGGUAGUGGACCCGCUUGGGGCCUGUGCGAAAGCUAGGCGCCACGGGCUAUAAUGCGGCAGGCAUUGCGUGAGGCUGGUUUAACAGAGCAGCGAAAACUGCCCGCCUCCAACGGUGGAAGGAUAACGGGCCGCUGCAUAACUGGGCCGCUUGGGUCUCCCAGCCUACUCCAACGAACCACUAUCUUU
rnacentral:SRP_RNA from 1 species